rnacentral:tRNA from 1 species
GCAUCGGUGGUUCAGUGGUAGAAUGCUCGCCUGCCACGUGGGCGGCCCGGGUUCAAUUCCCAGCCAAUGCA